rnacentral:rRNA from 1 species
UACGAAGGGGGCUAGCGUUACUCGGAUUCACUGGGCGUAAAGGGAGCGCAGGCGGACCGAUGUGUCAGAUGUGAAACCCCAGAGCUCAACUCUGGGACUGCGUCUGAAACUGUCGGUCUAGGGACUCGGAGGGGCUAGUGGAAUUCCUGGUGGAGCAGUGAAAUGCGUAGAUAUCAGGAGGAACACCGACGGCGAAGGCAGCUAGCUGGACGAGAUCCGACGCUCAGGCUCGAAAGUAUGGGGAGCAAAAAGG